rnacentral:rRNA from 1 species
UACGGAGGGGGCAAGCGUUGUUCGGAAUUACUGGGCGUAAAGGGCUCGUAGGCGGCCAACUAAGUCAUACGUGAAAUCCCUCAGCUUAACUGGGGAACUGCGUGUGAUACUGGAUGGCUUGGAUUUGGGAGAGGGAUGCGGAAUUCCAGGUGUAGCGGUGAAAUGCGUAGAUAUCUGGAGGAACACCGGUGGCGAAGGCGGCAUCCUGGACCAAUAUUGACGCUGAGGAGCGAAAGCUAGGGGAGCAAACGGG